rnacentral:siRNA from 1 species
UGGAUAUGGAGGUUGUGGUGUAGA